UACGUAGGGGCCGAGCGUUGUCCGGAGUUACUGGGCGUAAAGCGCGCGCAGGCGGCUCGUCAAGCCUGACGUGAAAGCCCCCGGCUCAACCGGGGAGGGUCGUCGGGGACUGGCGGGCUUGAGGUCGGCAGGGGCUGGUGGAAUUCCUGGUGUAGCGGUGGAAUGCGCAGAUAUCAGGAGGAACACCGGUGGCGAAGGCGGGUCUCUGGGCAGUAACUGACGCUGAGGAGCGAAAGCGUGGGGAGCGAACAGG
rnacentral:rRNA from 1 species